CUAUUAUUUCCCCUCCUGCACAGGUGGUAGGCUCAGCUUUUCCCCUCCCAGUGUUACAGCCAGGGCAGCUGUAUCAGAGCAUGUAUAAUUAAUUAAUUAUACAUGCCUUAGUAUAUAAUUAAGUAUAGGGGUGGUGUAGGGGGAAUACAUCAAUGACUGUGUGGAAGAAGAGAUAUAGGAGGUAUAUUGUAACUCGUUCACAGUUUGUAGGUUUCUCCACCCCCUAGGGCAAUGCAACUGCCCUCUGUAAUUGAACCCUCAGCUUUAACUUCUUUUUUUUUUUUUUUUUAACAGCAGAACAAUAAUGGCAAUGAAUAAAGAGACUGUGAUCUAGAGUUCAACUUCAGUGAAACUGUGAGGAUGGGAGACUAAGAUCUUAAAGAAGUUGAAGUCAGUGUUUUUCCUGGAAGACAUUCCAAGCGUACAGCAGCAACAAGAAAUAUCAGCAUACAGGUGGAGCAUACUCUCAGCACAUUUGCAGAUGACAAGUUGGAGAAGAGCAACAAACACUGGAGAUCAGGUCUGUUCCACCGCUGGAACUCAACAGGUUGGAGAAAUGAACUGAAAGGAGCACCUGGAAGUUCAACAAAGGAAAAAGGAAUGUCUGUACCUGGGAUGGAAUAAGUCAGAAUCUUAAAGGAAAAUUGGGUUGACUGGCUGGAAAGCAAUUUAGGAAGAAAACAAAACCAACUCAAACAAAAAAACAAGAGGGAGAAAAAACAAUGAAAAAAAUACAAAACAAAAUUAAAAGAUCAGCAAUCUUGGAGGACCAGUUACACAGGAGUCAACAGUGUGGCUCUAUAGUGAAAAAAGCUAUUAUGUUCUGUCUGUACUAGCAAAAGUGUGGCUAGUUCAGUGAGUCCAGUGGAGUGCCACCAAGGUGAUUAAUGGUGGCUGAAGCAUGUGAUGUACAGUGAGAGGCUGGGUAAAUUUGUUUGGCCUCAAGAAGGGAAGGCUAAGAGGGCACGUUACUGCUGUCCUCAACUGCCUAAUGGGAGAGUAGGGAGAAAAUGGAGACAGACUUCUUUUGGUGAUCCUCAGUGACAGGAAGGGAAGCAAUGGGCGCAGGCGGCAAGACACUAAGAGAUUUGUUUUUCUUUCAUCACAUUUUGCGUAUUAUUUCUAGAUGAAAAACUGUAAGUACAUCUCAAAAUAAAUACCAAAAAAACCCCUCAGAAGCAUCUCUACAAAAAAUGCUUAUAACUAUAGAUACUCUUUCCAGCAUUCGUAGUUGAACAAAGGACUUGAUCUUUGCAAUUGUAACAAACGGACUUUGUCAGUGCUCAGUACGUUAAGAACAAAAUAAAAAUGAGCUUACAUAUAACUGAUGUCAUGUGUACGCAAUUUGUUUCUACUCUAUGUUCAGACUGUGGUCCAAGUCUGCUAGAAGUAAUGGAAAUAUUUCCAUCAGAGCAUUUAGCAAAGUGGGGCCACUUGGAAAUACCCAAAUUAGCAAAUUCUGAACAAGCUGACUUGAAUACUGAAGCCAGUUUUUAACAGUCUUUUAACAUAACCUGGGAGGAGCACUGCAGCUGCAUUGCUUCUGGUAUAAAAGAUAUAGCUUCAUGAGAGCCAGUUUGGGUGUCAUUACAAAAUGAGGGCUGUGGAGAUAUGAUUUUAGGUUCUGUGAAAGAAUACUGUGUCAGUACAGACUAUUUAGACUGGUGGAAAUCUGGUUAGAUUUAGCAAAUACAUGAAUGUAGCGUUAAGGCAGGAAAUAGCUUCGCCUACGUAGCACAAUCAGAACAUAUUUAUUUUGUUAAUGUUAUAUUACCAUAAAAUAAGGGAAAUUAAAUCACAAUUUAAUUGUUCAUCAUGUUGCAGAACACAUUGUAUCUCAAGCUGUCAUGGAAACUAGUUAUCAUUUCUUUCAUCCUUAAAUCAUACACAAAAAAAUUGUUGAGGAAAGAUAGAGGGAUCACAAUAUUUGUAUGAGAGAGAUUAAUGAGCUGUCUAAGCUGAUUGCUUUUGCCAUAACUCAUAUUUCACGAUAUUGUAUGAAUGUGUAAAUGAGAUUUUUUUUAAGUUUAAAUGAAAAAAAAAGUUUAUCAAUACAGAUCUAAUAUUAUGCAUACCAAGUAAUGAGUUUUAUUUUCUAUUUAUUCCAUUUUUCUUAGUGGUAAAAUAUGCAAUGUACCCUAACUAUUUCAAAAGUGUAUCAUCUGCUGAUCAUUUGAUUCCAUAGCCCUUUUUCCUAGACACUUGUCAUAUGAUUACAUUUUACAGUAUAAUAUGAAUAUAUUCAUGGAGAAUUCAUCUGAUUCUAUUCAUAGUACAACCUACACAAC